AUGUAUGUUACUAAUGUGCGUAGAGAUGAAAGGUUCCAAAACCUGAAAAAUCUGUGUCAACUUUCAGUUGUGCUUGUGGAGACAAACAAGCAUGAACAAUAUCAUAUUGUUUACAAGCUUCUUAAGUUGGUAUUGAUUCUGCCAGUAGCUACUGCUAGUGUUGAAAGGGUAUUCUCUUCAAUGAGCCAUGUGAAGAAUAAGCUAAGAAGCAAAAUGGGUGAUGAAUAUUUGAACAGUUGUUUGGUUACAUUUGUUGAGAGAGAAUUUUUCAAUCAAGUGAAGGAUGAAGAUGUCAUCAAUCUCUUCCAAAAAGGCGACCGCAAAGUUAUAUUGUAA
rnacentral:rRNA from 1 species